UACGUAGGGCGCAAGCGUUGUCCGGAAUUAUUGGGCGUAAAGAGCUCGUUGGCGGUUUGUCACGUCUGCUGUGAAAACCCGAGGCUCAACCUCGGGCUUGCAGUGGGUACGGGCAGACUAGAGUGCGGUAGGGGAGACUGGAAUUCCUGGUGUAGCGGUAAAAUGCACAGAUAUCAGGAGGAACACCGAUGGCGAAGGCAGGUCUCUGGGCCGCAACUGACGCUGAGGAGCGAAAGCGUGGGUAGCAAACAGGAUUAGAUACCCU
rnacentral:rRNA from 1 species